CGAACGUGAAGGUAGGACCAAGUGCUUCGGUAUGCGGACUUACUGGAAAGUGGCGAACGGGUGAGUAACACGUGGGUGACCUGCCUCGGAGAGGGGGAUAACCAUUGGAAACGAUGGCUAAUACCGCAUGGUCCUGUUGAGAUGGGAAUGACAACAGGUAAAGCUCCGGCGCUUCGAGAGGGGCCUGCGCCCGAUUAGUUAGUUGGUGAGGUAACGGCUCACCAAGGCGAUGAUCGGUAGCUGGUCUGAGAGGACGAUCAGUCACACGGGAACUGAGACACGGUCCCGACUCCUACGGGGGGCAGCAGUGAGGAAUAUUGCACAAUGGGGGCAACCCUGAUGCAGCAACGUCGCGUGGAGGAUGAAGGUCUUUGGAUUGUAAACUCCUUUUUUCGGGGAAGAGGAAGGACGGUACCCGAAGAAUAAGUCACGGCUAACUACGUGCCAGCAGCCGCGGUAAUACGUAGGUGGCGAGCGUUAUCCGGAAUUACUGGGCGUAAAGGGCACGCAGGCGGCCAAGUAAGUCUGACGUGAAAGCUCCUGGCUUAACUGGGAGAGGUCGUUGGAAACUGCCUGGCUUGAGGUAAUGAGAGGGGUGCGGAAUUCCCGGUGUAGUGGUGGAAUGCGUAGAUAUCGGGAGGAACACCAGUGGCGAAGGCGGCACCCUAGCAUUGACCUGACGCUCAUGUGCGAAAGCGUGGGGAGCGAACGGGAUUAGAUACCCCGGUAGUCCACGCUGUAAACGAUGAGCACUAGGUGUGGGUAGUGUUAAAGCUAUCUGUGCCGAAGCAAACGCGAUAAGUGCUCCG
rnacentral:rRNA from 1 species